rnacentral:pre_miRNA from 1 species
AGACAAAUCUCUUGGGGAUUUUACUAAAAGGCAAUGGGUCUGACAUGAGGCCUAAGAUUCUGCAUUUUUUCAAUAAUUUCCCAGUUGAUGCCAAU